GGAUGUUUAUGCCUUUGGAGUUGUCCUUUGUGAACUUAUUUCUGCCAAGGAUGCAAUUGUCAAGAUAAAUGGUUCUAGUGCUGAAACAAAGGGCCUUGUUGCUUUGUUUGAAGAAGUUCUUAAUGAACCUGAUCCUAGAGAAGAGCUUUGCAAAUUAAUUGACCCAAGGCUUGGGGAUAACUAUCCAGCUGAUUCAGUCCGAAAGAUGGCCCAGCUUG
rnacentral:misc_RNA from 1 species